rnacentral:sRNA from 1 species
ACAUUUUGGAAGAGCUCUUCGUGCUUUGCUAGGGUUGGGGGUGAUAGAGAAGCGGAGAAGUGGAAGAGCGUGCUGUGGUAGGGUUCGGUUGAUAGAGAAGGCGAGAACUCCAUGGGUGCCACUUAAUCGGAGGGUGUGGCUGCACUUGUUCCUAAAGGUGAUGUUGAUGGUGAAAUGGGUGAUGCUCACAUGAAUUGAUGAGUCAGGCACUUAGAAAAUUGAGGCAUGCCUUAUCACAGACAUAACAUAUCUCUUUUCCAUCCUUUUUUUCAAGGUAGUAACUAUCAUAAUUAUUGAGCCUCGUUAGAUAGAAUGUGCAGACUUGGAUUUUUUGCUAUGUAGAAAAAGA